rnacentral:rRNA from 1 species
AUGCACGCUGGCGGCGUGCCUAAUACCUGCAAGUCGAGCGAACAGACGAGGAGCUUGCUCCUCUGACGUUAGCGGCGGACGGGUGAGUAACACGUGGAUAACCUACCUAUAAGACUGGGAUAACUUCGGGAAACCGGAGCUAAUACCGGAUAAUAUAUUGAACCGCAUGGUUCAAUAGUGAAAGACGGUUUUGCUGUCACUUAUAGAUGGAUCCGCGCCGCAUUAGCUAGUUGGUAAGGUAACGGCUUACCAAGGCAACGAUGCGUAGCCGACCUGAGAGGGUGAUCGGCCACACUGGAACUGAGACACGGUCCAGACUCCUACGGGAGGCAGCAGUAGGGAAUCUUCCGCAAUGGGCGAAAGCCUGACGGAGCAACGCCGCGUGAGUGAUGAAGGUCUUCGGAUCGUAAAACUCUGUUAUUAGGGAAGAACAAAUGUGUAAGUAACUAUGCACGUCUUGACCGUACCUAAUCAGAAAGCCACGGCUAACUACGUG